rnacentral:tRNA from 2 species
GGCUCAGUGGUGCAGCUGGUAAGCAUGCUCGAUUUAUAUUUGCUGACCAACCUUAUAAAAGUGUGUCGAGAGACAGAGGUUCGAACCCUCUCUGAGCUA